rnacentral:rRNA from 1 species
GAUGAACGCUGGCGGCGUGCCUAAUACAUGCAAGUCGAGCGAACGGACGAGAAGCUUGCUUCUCUGAUGUUAGCGGCGGACGGGUGAGUAACACGUGGAUAACCUACCUAUAAGACUGGGAUAACUUCGGGAAACCGGAGCUAAUACCGGAUAAUAUUUUGAACCGCAUGGUUCAAAAGUGAAAGACGGUCUUGCUGUCACUUAUAGAUGGAUCCGCGCUGCAUUAGCUAGUUGGUAAGGUAACGGCUUACCAAGGCAACGAUGCAUAGCCGACCUGAGAGGGUGAUCGGCCACAGUGGAACGGAGACACGGUCGAGACUCCUACGGGAGGCAGCAGUAGAGAAUCUUCCGCAAUGGGCGAAAGCCUGACGGAGCAACGCCGCGUGAGUGAUGAAGGUCUUCGGAUCGUAAAACUCUGUUAUUAGGGAAGAACAUAUGUGUAAGUAACUGUGCACAUCUUGACGGUACCUAAUCAGAAAGCCACGGCUAACUACGUG